GCGUGAAGGUAAUAUAUUUUGUAAUAAACAGUUAAUAUGGUUAAAUUUUAUGGUCCGUUCUUGACGGCAUUAAUUAGGUUCCUGUAUACUGAGUUCCACUUACCCUUUCAUGUGCUGCGACUAGUCCGUCUUUUUCUUGUUGUCGUUGUUCGCUGAUGAUUGCUCGUGUCUCGUCUUGUGACGCUUUUAUUUCACUUCUAAAUUGUUCCUCCAACUGGAUUUUCUGUUGAAUAUGAUGUUGUUGCAAUACAUGGAAUAUUGUAUUUUCUGCUCUUUCAGCUGAUGCCAUUCCGCCCACCUUUUCUGUCAAUACCUUCUUGCGGGUUUCCGCAAU